AGUGGGGAAUAUUGCACAAUGGGGGAAACCCUGAUGCAGCAACGCCGCGUGAGCGAUGAAGGCCUUCGGGUCGUAAAGCUCUGUCCUAUGGGAAGAACAAAUGACGGUACCAUAGGAGGAAGCCCCGGCUAACUACGUGCCAGCAGCCGCGGUAAUACGUAGGGGGCAAGCGUUAUCCGGAAUCACUGGGCGUAAAGGGUGCGUAGGCGGUCGACAAAGUCUGGGGUGAAAGGCUACGGCUCAACCGUAGUAAGCCUUGGAAACUUGUUGACUUGAGUGCAGGAGAGGUAAGUGGAAUUCCUAGUGUAGCGGUGAAAUGCGUAGAUAUUAGGAGGAACACCAGUGGCGAAGGCGACUUACUGGACUGUAACUGACGCUGAGGCACGAAAGCGUGGGGAGCAAA
rnacentral:rRNA from 1 species